GGAAUAUUGCACAAUGGGGGAAACCCUGAUGCAGCGACGCCGCGUGAGUGAUGAAGUAUUUCGGUACGUAAAGCUCUAUCAGCAGGAAAGAAAAUGACGGUACCUGACUAAGAAGCCCCGGCUAACUACGUGCCAGCAGCCGCGGUAAUACGUAGGGGGCAAGCGUUAUCCGGAUUUACUGGGUGUAAAGGGAGCGUAGACGGCGAGACAAGUCUGAAGUGAAAGGCGGGGGCCCAACCCCCGGACUGCUUUGGAAACUGCCUUGCUGGAGUGGAGGUGGGGUAUGCGGAAUUCCUAGUGUAGCGGUGAAAUGCGUAGAUAUUAGGAGGAACACCGGCGGCGAAGGCGGCAUACUGGACUGUAACUGACGUUGAGGCUCGAAGGCGUGGGGAGCAAACA
rnacentral:rRNA from 1 species